UAAGCACGAGAGUUUAAGGAGAACGCCUGCCUCGAAACCGAAUUCCUGCAUGAUGAGAUAAAAACCUUGUUGAUUUUACAAAACAGAAAUCAAACAGGUAUUUUUUUUGCAUGAUCAGGGAGGAGUCUAAAAUCUGAAAAAGUAGAAGGUAUAAGAAGUCUUGCAUGAUUGAAGGCGCAGGCAGUGGAGAGUGAAGAAGGUGUUCAGGGGGGACAGAGAUAUAAAGAAAAAGAAUGAGAGGACAAUGGGAUCUUGAAUAUGAAGAAACAGAAACUGGUUAAUACUUUUGUUCAGUGUUGGUAUGCAAAAUUUCAAAUCGCUUCACAACAUACUUUCAAUCCAAGUCUUUGUGGGGAGGUAUAGUGUGAAUGGUAUCUACUACUUGGUGGCAUUUAUGCUCUCAGUAUGCACACGUCUGUAAUCAUUUUCAGGCGAUUUUUGAUAAUCUGGCACCCUCUCGGUGAGUAUUUGAUGGUGUUUGCAUUUGCACGUCAAUGUAAUGAAAGGAUAUAUUCAGUAUGCAAAGAAUUAUACAGGCUUCCUUUAAAUGCAAAAAUGGACAAGAGUUUCCAGCUACGGAAUCCACGGCUUCAACAAGGUAUAAUUUAAAGCAGUAUAAUUGGUACAGAUGACUAGCAUCUCAUCAAUGCCCUGUUGUAUGAAAUUUCAGGGUGAAAUCCCUAUUAAGUGUAGCAAAAAUGUUUAAUUCUUGAUGGACAUGCUAUAUGUAUUAACUAUUAUGUAUUUAUUACUGUAGUAAGGUGAUUAGUUAGUUUGGUCAAAUGACCCAAUAGAUGACAUAGAGAGUUGCAUUUAAAUGGGAAGAGGGGUCACAAUUAUGCUCUCUAAACAUUGAUUGAACAGCAUUUCUGCUAUGCCAUGUAUUUGAAAGGUAAAAGAAGAGUUCUUUGUGUAUCCAGUGGGCAAGAGCCAAAACUUCUUAAAGGGAUAGAUCAGGCUGGUGCAGUUCAAUGAUCUGGCAAAUAUCCAGGAAUGGAUUGUUUGUUGCCAGCUAUGAACUUCAACGGGCAUUUGGAAAAUCAAAUAAUUCUCUGCACAGCUGAAUCAUCUAAUUUGAUCAACCGCUCUGCAUCUCUUAACUCUGGCGGUGACAUUCUGGAGUGCUGAUUAACUAAAAUCGCUAGAUAAUGGCAUACUAUUCAACGAAGUCACACAAGGGGCCACUGUUAUGUUUUCUGAAUGUUGAGGAACUUUUUUGCUAUGCCAUUUCUCAAAGGGGUAAUACCGUAAUAGCUAUUCAGCAAAAGCCAAAACAACUUCUUGAAGGGAUGUAUCAAGCUGAUGCAGUUAAGUAAUCUGCCAAAUAUCUUGGAAUAUAUUCUUUGCAGCCAGUUAUGAAUUUC